rnacentral:rRNA from 1 species
AUUGAACGCUGGCGGCAGGCCUAACACUUGCAAGUCGAACGAGUGGCGGACGGGUGAGUAAUGUCUGGGAAACUGCCUGAUGGAGGGGGAUAACUCCUGGAAACGGUAGCUAAUACCGCAUACCAUCAGAUGUGCCCAGAUGGGUUUAGCUAGUAGGUGGGGUAACGGCCCACCUAGGCGACGAUCCCUAGCUGGUCUGAGAGGAUGACCAGCCAAACUGGAACUGAGACACGGGCCAGACUCCUACGGGAGGCAGCAGUGGGGAAUAUUGCACAAUGGGCGCAAGCCUGAUGCAGCCAUGCCGCGUGUAUGAAGAAGGCCUUCGGGUUGUAAAGUACUUUCAGCGGGGAGGCGUUACCAACAGAAUAAGCACCGGCUAACUUCGUGCCAGCAGCCGCGGUAAUAC